CCAAGGCUUGACAUACACCGGAAAGCAUUAGAGAUAGUGCCCCCCUUGUGGUCGGUGUACAGGUGGUGCAUGGCUGUCGUCAGCUCGUGUCGUGAGAUGUUGGGUUAAGUCCCGCAACGAGCGCAACCCUUGUCCCGUGUUGCCAGCAGGCCCUUGUGGUGCUGGGGACUCACGGGAGACCGCCGGGGUCAACUCGGAGGAAGGUGGGGACGACGUCAAGUCAUCAUGCCCCUUAUGUCUUGGGCUGCACACGUGCUACAAUGGCCGGUACAAUGAGCUGCGAUACCGUGAGGUGGAGCGAAUCUCAAAAAGCCGGU
rnacentral:rRNA from 1 species